GAUGAACGCUAGCUACAGGCUUAACACAUGCAAGUCGAGGGGCAGCACGGGAAUAGCUUGCUAUUCUGGGUGGCGACCGGCGCACGGGUGAGUAACGCGUAUCCAACCUGCCCAUUACUCAGGGAUAGCCUUGCGAAAGUAAGAUUAAUACCUGAUGUUGUUAUGAAGUUGCAUGAUUUUAUAACUAAAGAUUUAUUGGUAAUGGAUGGGGAUGCGUAACAUUAGGUAGUGGGUGAGGUAACGGCUCACCAAGCCUACGAUGUUUAGGGGUUCUGAGAGGAAGGUCCCCCACACUGGAACUGAGACACGGUCCAGCCUCCUAGGGAGGCAGCAGUGAGGAAUAUUGGUCAAUGGACGAGAGUCUGAACCAGCCAAGUAGCGUGCAGGAUGACGGCCCUCUGGGUUGUAAUCUGCUUUUAGUUGGGAAUAAAAGAUAGCACGUGUGCUAUGUAUUGUAUGUACCAUCAGAAAAAGGACCGGCUAAUUCCGUGCCAGCAGCCGCAGUAACAC
rnacentral:rRNA from 1 species